rnacentral:rRNA from 1 species
UACGAAGGGGGCUAGCGUUGUUCGGAAUUACUGGGCGUAAAGCGCGCGCAGGCGGCUAUCCAAGUCAGUGGUGAAAGCCCGGAGCUCAACUCCGGAACUGCCAUUGAAACUGUUUAGCUUGAGGACGAGAGAGGUGAGUGGAAUUCCCAGUGUAGAGGUGAAAUUCGUAGAUAUUCGGAAGAACACCAGUGGCGAAGGCGACUCACUGGCCCGAUACUGACGCUGAGGCGCGAAAGCGUGGGGAGCAAACAGG